CCUAAUACAUGCAAGUCGAACGGUCGUUUCUAUGGAAGCUUGCUUCCACUGAGAAGAUAGUGGCGAACGGGUGAGUAACACGUGGGUAACCUGCCCAUAAGAGGGGGAUAACAUCCGGAAACGGGUGCUAAUACCGCAUAGUUUUCUUGAUCGCAUGAUCGGGAAAGGAAAGACGGCCUUUGUGCUGUCGCUUAUGGAUGGACCCGCGGCGUAUUAGUUAGUUGGUGAGGUAACGGCUCACCAAGACGAUGAUACGUAGCCGACCUGAGAGGGUGAUCGGCCACAUUGGGACUGAGACACGGCCCAAACUCCUACGGGAGGCAGCAGUAGGGAAUCUUCCGCAAUGGACGAAAGUCUGACGGAGCAACGCCGCGUGAGUGAAGAAAGGUUUUCGGAUCGUAAAACUCUGUUGUCAGAGAAGAACAAGUUGGAGAGUAACUGCUCCAGCCUUGACGGUAUCUGACCAGAAAGCCACGGCUAACUACGUGCCAGCAGCGGC
rnacentral:rRNA from 1 species